rnacentral:lncRNA from 1 species
AUGUCAGUCAGCAAGAGAUCUGCUGCUGAGGAGAGAAGCAUCAACAGCAGCAUGGUAGCUCAACGGAAGAACCCUGAAGUCUACGUGGGAUUUUCCAGUCUCCCAAAUCAAAUAUCCAGAAAAUCAGUGAAGAGAGGGUUGGAAUUCAUACUUAUGGCAGUGGGGAAAUCUGGAUUCAGAAACUUUACAUUAAUCAACUCAUUAUUCUUCACUCUGUAUUCUCCAGAGUAUCCAGAUUCUUCUCACAGAAUUAAAAAGACCGUGCAGGUGGAACUAUGCAAAGUUUUAAUCAAAGAAGGUGGUGUUCAGUUGCUGCUCACAAGAGUUGAUAUCCCAUGAUUUAGACUUGCAAUGGGUAAUAGUAAUUGUUGGUUACUGACUACACUGAUAGUAAAUUGAGGACCACCUAAAUGGAGAAUCAUGAUAAAACAGAUGUCAGAUGCCUCAUAACAGGGUGCAGGGUUGUUUAUACUUCAUUUCUCCUUCAGGACAUGGACUUAAACCAUUUGAUACUAAGUUUAUGAAGCUUUUGCUUGAAAAAGUGAAUAUCAUUCCCACUUAUUGCCAAAGCAGACAUGCUGAUACCAGAGAAAUGCCAAUAGUUUAAAAACAGAUAAUGAAAGAAAUCUAAGAACAUAAAAUUAAAUAUAUGAAUUUCCAAAAACACAUGAUGAAGAAAAUAAACUUGUUAAAAAGAUAAAGGACAUAAAGGACUGUUUACCACUUGCUGUGGUAGCCAAUAAUACUACCAUUGAAGUUAAUGGCAAGAGAGUCAGAGGAAGGCAGUAUCCUAAGGGUGUUGCUGAUGUUGAAUAUGGUGAGCACUGUAAUUUUACAAUUCUAAGGAGUAUCUUGAUAGGAACACACAUACAAGACUUGAAAGAUGUUCCUGAUAAUGCCCAUUACGAAAACCACAGAAGCAGAAAAAUGGCACCUGACUUACAAUGGAGUUGAAAACAACAAGAAUAAAGGGCAGCUUACUAAGAGCCCUCUGGCACAAAUGGAAGAGGAAAGAAGACAGCAUGUAGCUAAAAUGAAGAAGAUGGGGACAAAGAUGAAGCAGGCGUUCAAGAUGAAGGUCAAAAAAAAAAAAGUUCAAAAACUGAAGGACUCUGAAACUGAGCUCCAACGGUGCCAAGAGCAAAAAGGAAUUUAAGCACAGCACAAAGAAUUAGAGGAAAAACGUCACCAGUUUGAGAAUGAAAAAGCAAACUGAGAAGCUCAACUCAACAACAUAUUUUAGAACAGAACUCUUCAAGACCCCUGGAAAA